GCGGGAGCUUGACCGUUUUUCCUCAGGCGGGAGCGGAGCGCUGGGGCUUAGCUGUUGGAGAAAGGUGGAUGCAGUUAUCAAGAGAGCAGAGUGAAGACACCUGGAAAGAAGUUAUCAUCACUAAGAAUGUCUUUUGGAAGGCUGCUGUUUUGUGGUCAGUAUUCAGAUGUGCUCCACGAAUACCCUUCCUUCCUAAUAGCUUCUCACAAUCAGAACCAGAAGUAGAGUCAUGUCAUGGCCAAAUUAACUAAUGUCUGGAAGAGAAAAAAGAAACAAGGGAGAACAAUACCAAAAAUGAGGUUUAAGAUUGCUACAAAAGUUAUCGUGAUUAAUGGGAAAUUCCCAGCGUUAUCUGUGGAAGAGAAUUGGUCCUACUGGAUACUGGACUUCAGAGAUAACUGAGUUUUCCCCAGCAAAGGGGAUGGCCGCACCAUGACCCAAUAAGCAACUCUGCAGCUGCUCCUGCCAAUCACUCCAUUUCGCCAUCAUUCCCCUGGCCCCAUGAGAGGUUCCGUCCGGAGGCCCGCCUAGGAAACCUCUCCACUACAAGAUGUUCAAGUGGGCCACAUACCUGGCUUGCCCAACAGGCACAACAGAUGAGUAACAAGUGUGUUUAUAGAUUUUGUGGUGCUCCAGCUGUCACUGAUGUAAGUGUUUUCUGCUAAAAUUGGUAUAUUUUUGGCCAUCUGCUU